rnacentral:rRNA from 1 species
GACGAACGCUGGCGGCGUGCUUAACACAUGCAAGUCGAACGGAAAGGCCCUGCUUUUGUGGGGUGCUCGAGUGGCGAACGGGUGAGUAACACGUGAGUAACCUGCCCUUGACUUUGGGAUAACUUCAGGAAACUGGGGCUAAUACCGGAUAGGAGCUCCUGCUGCAUGGUGGGGGUUGGAAAGUUUCGGCGGUUGGGGAUGGACUCGCGGCUUAUCAGCUUGUUGGUGGGGUAGUGGCUUACCAAGGCUUUGACGGGUAGCCGGCCUGAGAGGGUGACCGGCCACAUUGGGACUGAGAUACGGCCCAGACUCCUACGGGAGGCAGCAGUGGGGAAUAUUGCACAAUGGGCGGAAGCCUGAUGCAGCAACGCCGCGUGCGGGAUGGCGGCCUUCGGGUUGUAAACCGCUUUCGCCUGUGACGAAGCGUGAGUGACGGUAAUGGGUAAAGAAGCACCGGCUAACUACGUGCCAGCAGCCGCGGUGAUACGUAGGGUGCGAGCGUUGUCCGGAUUUAUUGGGCGUAAAGGGCUCGUAGGUGGUUGAUCGCGUCGGAAGUGUAAUCUUGGGGCUUAACCCUGAGCGUGCUUUCGAUACGGGUUGACUUGAGGAAGGUAGGGGAGAAUGGAAUUCCUGGUGGAGCGGUGGAAUGCGCAGAUAUCAGGAGGAACACCAGUGGCGAAGGCGGUUCACUGGGCCUUUCCUGACGCUGAGGAGCGAAAGCGUGGGGAGCGAACAGGCUUAGAUACCCUGGUAGUCCACGCUGUAAACGGUGGGUACUAGGUGUGGGGUCCAUUCCACGGGUUCCGUGCCGUAGCUAACGCUUUAAGUACCCCGCCUGGGGAGUACGGCCGCAAGGCUAAAACUCAAAGGAAUUGACGGGGCCCCGCACAAGCGGCGGAGCAUGCGGAUUAAUUCGAUGCAACGCGUAGAACCUUACCUGGGUUUGACAUGGAUCGGGAGUGCUCAGAGAUGGGUGUGCCUCUUUUGGGGUCGGUUCACAGGUGGUGCAUGGCUGUCGUCAGCUCGUGUCGUGAGAUGUUGGGUUAAGUCCCGCAACGAGCGCAACCCUUGUUCACUGUUGCCAGCACGUUAUGGUGGGGACUCAGUGGAGACCGCCGGGGUCAACUCGGAGGAAGGUGGGGAUGACGUCAAGUCAUCAUGCCCCUUAUGUCCAGGGCUUCACGCAUGCUACAAUGGCUGGUACAGAGAGUGGCGAGCCUGUGAGGGUGAGCGAAUCUCGGAAAGCCGGUCUCAGUUCGGAUUGGGGUCUGCAACUCGACCUCAUGAAGUCGGAGUCGCUAGUAAUCGCAGAUCAGCAACGCUGCCGUGAAUACCUUCCCGGG